GACAGAGGGUGCAAACGUUGUUCGGAAUUACUGGGCGUAAAGCGCGUGUAGGCGGCCAUCUAAGUCGGGCGUGAAAUCCCACGGCUCAACCGUGGAAGUGCACUCGAAACUGGAUGGCUAGAGUCCUGGAGAGGAAGGUGGAAUGCUUGGUGUAGAGGUGAAAUUCGUAGAUAUCAAGCGGAACACCGGUGGCGAAGGCGGCCUUCUGGACAGUGACUGACGCUGAGGUGCGGAAAGCGUGGGGAGCAAAGCAGG
rnacentral:rRNA from 1 species